UACAGAGGGUGCGAGCGUUGUUCGGAAUUAUUGGGCGUAAAGGGCGCGUAGGCGGUGCGGUAAGUCACCUGUGAAAUCUCCUGGCUCAACUGGGAGCUUGCAGGCGAAACUGCCGUGCUGGAGUGUGGGAGAGGUGCGUGGAGUUCCUGGUGUAGCGGUGAAAUGCGUAGAUAUCAGGAGGAACACCUGUGGCGAAAGCGGCGCACUGGACCACAACUGACGCUGAGGCGCGAAAGCUAGGGGAGCAAACAGG
rnacentral:rRNA from 1 species